AAGCGGAGGAAAAGAAACUAACAAGGAUUCCCCUAGUAACGGCGAGUGAAGCGGGAAAAGCUCAAAUUUGAAAUCUGGCAGUCUUCGAUUGUCCGAGUUGUAAUCUAUAGAGGCGUUUUCCGUGCCGGACCGUGUCCAAGUCUCCUGGAAAGGAGUAUCAAAGAGGGUGAUAAUCCCUACUUAACACGACCCCCGGUGCUCUGUGAUACGUCUUCUACGAGUCGAGUUGUUUGGGAAUGCAGCUCAAAAUGGGUGGUGAAUUCCAUCUAAAGCUAAAUAUUGGCGAGAGACCGAUAGCGAACAAGUACCGUGAGGGAAAGAUGAAAAGCACUUUGGAAAGAGAGUUAAACAGUACGUGAAAUUGUUGAAAGGGAAACGAUUGAAGUCAGUCGUGUUCCUUGGAUUCAGCCAGUUCUGCUGGUCUACUUCCUUGGAACGGGUCAACAUCAGUUUCGUCCGGUGGAUAAAGGUAGUAGGAAUGUGACUUCCCCGGAAGUGUUAUAGCCUAUUGCCACAUACACUGGGUGAGACUGAGGACUGCAGCUCGCCUUUAUGGCCGGUCUUCGGACACGUUCGAGCUUAGGAUGUUGACAUAAUGGCUUUAAACGACCCGUCUUG
rnacentral:rRNA from 1 species